UGAGAAUGCCGGAAUGAGUAGCGAGAAUUAUGUGAGAAUCAUAAUGGCCGAAAGACUAAGGUUUUAGAAGGAAGGUUCGUCCGCUUCUAGUUAGCCGGGAGCUAAGGCGAGGCCGAGAGGCGUAGUCGAUGCACAUACGGUUGAGAUUCCGUAGCUACCUUGCAUUUAAGCGAAGGGACACAUUUGAAGGGCAUGACCCGGGCGUUGGUUGACCCGGGCGUAAGGGACCGAAAAUAAGUAGGGAAGCAUGCUUGGAUGGUGGCGAGAAAAGCUUCGUGUAUAUAAGCAGGGUACCCGUACUGCAAACCGACACAGGUAGUCAGGAAGAGGAUUCUAAGGCCAUCGGGAGAAGCGUUGUUAAGGAACUCGGCAAAUUGACCCCGUAACUUCGGAAUAAGGGGUGCUCACGCGAGUGAGCCGCAGUGAAUAGGUCCAGGCAACUGUUUAUCAAAAACACAGCUCUCUGCUAAAUCGUAAGAUGACGUAUAGGGGGUGACACCUGCCCGGUGCUGGAAGGUUAAGAGGAGGGGUGCAAGCUCCGAAUUGAAGCCCCAGUAAACGGCGGCCGUAACUAUAACGGUCCUAAGGUAGCGAAAUUCCUUGUCGGGUAAGUUCCGACCCGCACGAAUGGUGUAAUGAUCUGGACACUGUCUCAACAACGCACCCGGCGAAAUUGUAGUACCGGUGAAGAUGCCGGUUACCCGCGGCAAGACGGAAAGACCCCAUGGAGCUUCACUGUAGCCUGAUAUUGGGUCUCGGUAUUUUAUGUACAGGAUAGGCGGGAGACUUGGAAACCAGCACGCCAGUGUUGGCGGAGUCACCCUUGGGAUACCGCUCUUAAAGUAUUGAGAUUCUAACCUGCAGCCAUGAAUCUGGCUGGGGGACAUUGUCAGGUGGGCAGUUUGACUGGGGCGGUCGCCUCCAAAAGAGUAACGGAGGCGUUCAAAGGUUCACUCAGCAUGGACGGAAACCAUGCCUUAGAGUGCAAACGCAUAAGUGAGCCUAACUGCGAGACUGACGGGUCGAGCAGUAACGAAAGUUGGAGUUAGUGAUCCGGCGGUAUGUGAGUGGAAAUGCCGUCGCUCAACGGAUAAAAGCUACCCUGGGGAUAACAGGCUGAUCU
rnacentral:rRNA from 1 species